UCACUAUUCCAGUUUCACACAGAUAUCCGUGUGAAAUCUUAUCAAUAGCUUUCUGCAAAAUUCCAACAGGGUCGUCUAAGUCAUUCUAAUCUCUUCAUUCAAGUUUUUCUGGUCUCUCAAGUCAGAAGUCAGAACCACCCACCUCUCUCUCUCUCUCUCUCUCUCUCCAGAUCUAUCUAUAAAGCACUAAGCUUUACAUCUGAUUUUUGGUUAUUUCUCUCUACCAUUGUCUUUGUUAUUCUAUACCGAAACUUGUGGAUCUGAGGUGAGAUUUUGCCCUGACGUGAAGAAUCUCAAGACCGCCUUCUCUUCCUUGGCAAGAUUGGGUAUUUUUUAUGCAUAGGAAAUUUGAAAGUCAAACAGCAUUGCACAGCGGGUAAAAUUCAAGAUGCCAAAUCUGUAAAUCCUCUGCAGGUAAGGUUCCAGAGGAGUCUGAAGCUCAAGCCCAUGGCUUUGAUCAAGAAGUUGCGCAAGUUUUGUUGAGUUUCCUAUUUCAUAGAACCUGUUGAGACAAUUUGAAAGACUGAAGAUCCGGAAUCACCAUGAAGGACAAUAGAGGAAAUGGAUCCAUUGAUGUCAUUGAUUUAUUAAUGAAAUUUGUUCAACAACAAUUGAUGUCAUUGAUUUAUUCAUACUUGUGCUUGCGUAUAGGAAAAAGCUGCAAUUAAUGUCAGAAAUAGGAAACAAAAGAAGAUGAGCCAUACUACUGGAACAAUGACUUAUGCAGCAAAAAUUUAUAAAUGGCAACUAGAAAACAAAAAGGAUGCACCGCCUAACCGUAAAGAGAGAUUCAAGAUAACCCACCUAAAGAAGGGGGAUCUAAAACAAAGUACAUUGAUGAAGCAUCAACACAAGCUGUGAAAACAAAGGGAUUUCAAAAGAGGUGGAGGAACUAAGGGCUGCUGUGGAGGAACAAAAAAGUGUGUAUGCAAGAGCAUUGAUGGAGGUUGAAAGAUUGAGAAUUGAAUUUGCAAGGGAAAUGAAUGAAUUUGCUGAGAGAGAAAAACAACGUGAGGCAGAGUUGGAUAAGAUAAAAGUUGAUCAACUACAGAUGAUGGAGAACAUGAAAAAAAUGCAAGACUUGAUGGAAAUGCCAAGGACAUGAUUUGCUCAGCCAUGUUUGCUACUCUUUAACUUCAUCAUGAUGUUUGUUGCUCUUAACUUAAUCAUGUUUUUGUUGUUUUGGUCCUGGUUUAAUGACUUCUAGAUUAUGUAUGUUUUUGUCUAAAAAUUUCUAGGAGUUAUUAAUCUAGUGCGGCAGUUGCCAUUGUAUAUAUUGAAGAAUAUAAUUAAGCUUUUGAA